CUUUUUCCCUCCUCAUUUCGGUUGCUUAUUGUCUUUUAUGAUGGCCAUAGAAUUAAUCUAUCUGCUGGAAUUGGCAGAAUUAUCUCUCCAUGUUGAUUGACUCCUAUGCAACUAUGGUGCCUUUAUAUGUAAAAUCUUUUUUGGAACAAAGAAGGAUAUUCUCUAUAUUUUUAGAUUCUUAGAAACUUGUGUUUGCAUUUUCUUUUUUCGUAUCGUCAUCCUUAGAUAAAACUGUUGAAUCAUGGAAUUAAGAAGUUA
rnacentral:misc_RNA from 1 species